rnacentral:rRNA from 1 species
AACGAACGCUGGCGGCAUGCCUAACACAUGCAAGUCGAACGAGACCUUCGGGUCUAGUGGCGCACGGGUGCGUAACGCGUGGGAACCUGCCCUUAGGUUCGGAAUAACUCCCCGAAGGGGUGCUAAUACCGGAUAAUGUCUUCGGACCAAAGAUUUAUCGCCUUUGGAUGGGCCCGCGUUGGAUUAGCUAGUUGGUAGGGUAAAAGCCUACCAAGGCGACGAUCCAUAGCUGGUCUGAGAGGAUGAUCAGCCACACUGGGACUGAGACACGGCCCAGACUCCUACGGGAGGCAGCAGUGGGGAAUAUUGGACAAUGGGCGAAAGCCUGAUCUAGCAAUGCCGCGUGAGUGAUGAAGGCCUUAGGGUUGUAAAGCUCUUUUACCCGGGAUGAUAAUGACAGUACCGGGAGAAUAAGCUCCGGCUAACUCCGUG